GUUUUUGUUUGGGUUUUUUUCCCCCUCUCUGCAUUGUAGGACUAUUUAGGAUGGAAUGCAGGAAAAGGCAGCCAUUUAAUGAAUUGAAAAAUUUCCCCAGCAUUCUGUGUCCAACUGUUUGCUCAGUGAGAUAAGAAAAGUGCUAUAGCUGUGAGUAAAUAUUCCAGGCUUUCAGGAAAUACUGAAGAGUUGUUGCAGAAUGACACAAUGAGGGAUUUGGGAACAGAGCACAUUUCUGCCAGCACUGACCAGGGUCAGAGGUGAAGAUGAUGAAGUAGGAUCAAAAAUGAAGGAGAGGAUGCUCAGCAGUGAUAACUCCAGAUCUCAUGGACAACAGGAGCAAAACCCUAUCAUGCAAGAAGUGGACACCAUCACCUCUGGGCCAGGUUUUAAUGCAACACAGCAGAGGAGAGCAGAGACUCUUCUAGGUCAGAAGAUGAUCUUUUCUAAACAAUUUACCACUA